rnacentral:rRNA from 1 species
GAUUAACGCUGGCGGCAUGCCUAAUACAUGCAAGUCGAACGGAAGCAGCAAUGCUUUAGUGGCGAACGGGUGAGUAACACGUAGGGAACCUACCUAUACGACGAGGAUAACUACUGGAAACGGUAGCUAAAACUGGGAUAGGAUCAAUUGAGGCAUCUUGAUUGAUUUAAAGAUCCUUCGGGAUUACGUAGAGAUGGCCCUGCGGCGCAUUAGCUAGUUGGUGAGGUAACGGCCACCAAGGCGACGAUGCGUAGCUGAGCUGAGAGGCUAAACAGCCACACUGGGACUGAGACACGGCCCAGACUCCUACGGGAGGCAGCAGUAGGGAAUUUUCGGCAAUGGGGGAAACCCUGACCGAGCAAUGCCGCGUGAACGAUGAAGGUCUCGGAUUGUAAAGUUCUGUGAUUGGGGAAGAAUGGUAUUCUUAGGGAAUGAGGAGUACAUGACGGUACCCGAUUAGAAAGCCCCGGUAACUAUGUGCCAGCAGC